UCAAAAGUUAAAUAUCACCAUAUACUGUCAGUGAGUUGGUCAUCGUUUGUUGAUUAUUAAAGUGAGAUAGGUGUAGCCAAUGUGCACCAAUGAAAAAUACAAUGGAAUUGAUAGCAACCAUAUUCUUUCGGUUUUCCAUCUGCAUAUGUUGCCACGUAGGCUACCAUAAUACAGAAUUAUAUUUAACGAUAUUUAACUGUAUUAGAUCUAUGUUAAUAAACGUAGUGACAAAUAAAUUUCAAUAAAUAUUUAGAGCUGUUUCAACUUCGUCUGGUAUUGUAUAAGCUAUUGCAUUUUGUUUAUUUCCCCACGUUUCUAAUCUUUGUAAAUGUUAGAACAUAUAUAACUAUCCUGGCAUAUUAAUAUGGAAAAUAUUAAGGUAGAUCUAAGUAUUAAAAAAAAUCACAGUUUUAAUUAGGAUAAAUACCCCAAAGUGUUAACACUUUUAUCACUUAUUGGUGGGCCAAUUCAUAAUUCAUAUUCAACAUUCUUGCUUCAAAUAUGGGAACUAUUUAUUUUAUUUGGCAAUAUAUAUUUUUCAUUUAUGUACAUAUUUUUCAAAUAAGGUUUUAGAAACUUGGCCAUGAUAUUCACUUGAAUCACUAGUUUGAGUGUACAGCAGAAAGGUAAAGUUACUGCUUUUGAAAAACUACAGUUGAUCUGUUGACUGAUAAAACUAUUUGCCAAUAUUACAUCACAGUUACAUCAUACUCUAUUAGUCUAAGUAAAUGUGAUUUAUCUAUACAGUACUGGUUUAUUUAAGAAUGUGAUACUUUGUGGUUUCUGUUUUUCUUUCAGGUGGAGAAAACAGUAUUGUGGGAGCGUAUUUGUUUAAAGUACAUAUCACUGACAGAAAGUUACCAAGGCAUAAGGAGAGACUGAGGAUACAGUUGAAGAUCAUCCCUGUGACUUUUCAUUUGAGGACUGAAAAGGCUCCCCAGCAACUCAGCUCCCCAGCCCAUGUUCUGACUUGUCAUUUAACAAAUAAAUAAAGGUCACCUCAA